CAGUCGCCGCGGUAAUACGUAGGGUGCGAGCGUUAAUCGGAAUUACUGGGCGUAAAGCGUGCGCAGGCGGUUGUGUAAGACAGGUGCGAAAUCCCCGGGCUUAACCUGGGAACUGCGCUUGUGACUGCACAGCUAGAGUAUGGCAGAGGGGGGUGGAAUUCCACGUGUAGCAGUGAAAUGCGUAGAGAUGUGGAGGAACACCGAUGGCGGAGGCAGCCCCCUGGGCCAAUACUGACGCUCAUGCACGAAAGCGUGGGGAGCAAACAGGAUUAGAUACCCCCGUAGUCCCUGUCUCUUAUAC
rnacentral:rRNA from 1 species